AAAGAUCUGGAAGUGGGAGACA
rnacentral:miRNA from 1 species